AAGUCGUAACAAGGUUUCCGUAGGUGAACCUGCGGAAGGAUCAUUAAUGAAUUUAGGGAGUUGAUGCUGGCCUUUGUGCAUGUGCUCGCUCCCUCUAAUCCAUACACACCUGUGCACUUGUUAUCAGAGUUGAGGAGAAAUCCUUGACUCUGUUUAAUCACAUACUCUUUUAUUACUUUGAAUGUUUAUCAAGUCGAAAGACUUUUAAAUUAAUACAACUUUUAACAACGGAUCUCUUGGCUCUC
rnacentral:misc_RNA from 1 species